rnacentral:tRNA from 34 species
GCGGAUGUAGCCAAGU